UACGAAGUGGGCUAGCGUUGCUCGGAAUCACUGGGCGUAAAGCGCACGUAGGCGGAUAUUUAAGUCGGUGGUGAAAUCCUGGAGCUCAACUCCAGAACUGCCUCCGAUACUGAAUGUCUUCGAGUCCGGGAGAGGUGAGUGGAACUGCGAGUGUAGAGGUGAAAUUCGUAGAUAUUCGCAAGAACACCAGUGGCGAAAGCGGCUCACUGGCCCGGUACUGACGCUGAGGUGCGAAAGCGUGGGGAGCAAACAGG
rnacentral:rRNA from 1 species